rnacentral:misc_RNA from 1 species
AAAUUUUUGUUAUAAAAUAAGAGCGAGAUUAAGAGAGAGAGGGAAGGGGACCUCAAAGAUUUAGCUCUCAAUGCCAAUGCCAAAGCUCCCUCUGAUUUGCAGAGAGAAUCCAAAGGACGACUAAUAGAGAGAGAGAACUAAGAACGCGAAGAACAGAAACAGAGAAAGAGAGAGAGACUGUGUUUAGAUUUUGAAAAUUCCAAUCAAGUCCUUUCUCUUCUUAUCCAAUCCGUGCUUGGAUUUCUCCAUUUUGAUUAUUGCACUGGGAAUGCUAAAGAAGGAUUUGGACUGUUGAUUGAUUUUGUUGAUUCAACUGGCCAAAUUACAGAGACAUGUUGGAGGGUCGGUCCUGUCUGGUAACAAGGUUGUUUGGUAGCUCCUGCCAGCCAGAAUCCCAGUGGCCUUUCAUGUCUUUACGGCCCGGCAAGCACCCUAUAGACGGCUCUGAGGACGAUUAUCGACCAAUCAAGUACCCCAGGGUAUCAGAUUGUCGCGAAACUAGAGACAAGCAAUCUGAUGAUGAUCGAGCAGGGCAGUCUUCCGAUUCCGACCCUCUUAUUGAUGCCAUUGGCCGUGAC